rnacentral:snRNA from 1 species
UGAUUGGGUUUUUUUCGCUUCCUAGGGCAGCGGUUACCAUUAGUCGCUGCGUGCUGAUAUGUGGUUUAUAAUAAAUUCUCUUUAUGUGGCGUACAGAAUCGCUAUCAAGAGAUUCUGAAUGCAUAAUUUUUUUUAACUGGGGCAGUUGGUUGUCGUUUGCACCGGCGUCUCU